AACGAACGCUGGCGGCAGGCCUAACACAUGCAAGUCGAACGCCGUAGCAAUACGGAGUGGCAGACGGGUGAGUAACGCGUGGGAACAUACCCCCCGGUUCGGAAUAACUCAGGGAAACUUGAGCUAAUACCGGAUACGUCCGAGGUUUUAAUCGACCUUGGAGAAAGAUUUAUCGCCGGAGGAUUGGCCCGCGUCUGAUUAGCUUGUUGGUGAGGUAAUGGCUCACCAAGGCGACGAUCAGUAGCUGGUCUGAGAGGAUGAUCAGCCACAUUGGGACUGAGACACGGCCCAAACUCCUACGGGAGGCAGCAGUGGGGAAUAUUGGACAAUGGGCGAAAGCCUGAUCCAGCCAUGCCGCGUGAGUGAUGAAGGCCUUAGGGUUGUAAAGCUCUUUUGACCCGGGAGAUAAUGACGGUACCGGGAGAAUAAGCCCCGGCUAACUUCGUGCCAGCAGCCGCCGUAAC
rnacentral:rRNA from 1 species